GGCCGCGGUAUCCUGACCGUGCAAAGGUAGCAUAAUCAUUUGUUCCUUAAUUAGGGACUUGUAUGAAUGGCCCCACGAGGGUUUAACUGUCUCUUACUUUUAAUCAGUGAAAUUGACCUUCCCGUGAAGAGGCGGGAAUUUAAUAAUAAGACGAGAAGACCCUAUGGAGCUUAAAUUAAUAUGCUCAACAAAAUUUAAACUCAACCCAACAGGAAUAAUCAUAGUUUAACUGAGCAACAAAUUUUGGUUGGGGUGACCUCGGAGUAUAACAAAACCUCCGAGUGAUUUUAACUAAGACAUACUUGUCAAGGUUACAUAACUUAUUGAUCCAAUCAUAUUGAUCAACGAAACAAGUUACCCUAGGGAUAACAGCGCAAUCCUAUUUGAGAGUUCAUAUCGACAAUAGGGUUUACGACCUCGAUGUUGGAUCAGGACAUCCAAAUGGUGCAGCAGCU
rnacentral:rRNA from 1 species